rnacentral:tRNA from 1 species
GCGGUCGUGGUGGAAUGGUAGACACGCUAGUUUGAGGUACUAGUGUCAGCAAUGACAUGGCGGUUCAAGUCCGCCCGACCGCA